rnacentral:rRNA from 1 species
GUGCCAGCCGCCGCGGUAAUACCGGCAGCCCGAGUGAUGACCGAUCUUAUUGGGCCUAAAGCGUCCGUAGCUGGCCGCGCAAGUCCAUCGGAAAAUCCACCCGCCCACCGAGUGGGCGUCCGACGGAAACUGCACAGCUUGGGACCGGAAGGCUCGAAGGGUACGCUCGGGGUAGGAGUGAAAUCCCAUAAUCCCGCACGGACCACCGAUGGCGAAAGCACUUCGAGAAAACGGAUCCGACAGUGAGGGACGAAAGCCAGGGUCUCCAACCGGAUUAGAAACCCCUGUAGUCC